AGUCAGAUGCUGCAGACCCGAAGCUAAGUGAUCUAUCCAUGGCCAAGUUGAAACGCGUGUAAUAGCGCGUGGAGGACUGAACUCGUACCCAUUGAAACGGGUUGGGAUGAGCUGUGGAUAGGGGUGAAAGGCCAAACAAACUUAGUGAUAGCUGGUUCUCUUCGAAAUAUAUUUAGGUAUAGCCUCAAGUGAUAAUAAAAGGGGGUAGAGCUCUGAUUGGGCUAGGGCUGCUCGCCGCGGUACCAAACCCUAUCAAACUUCAAAUACCUUUUAUCGUAUCUUGGGAGUCAGGCGGUGGGUGAUAAAAUCAAUCGUCAAAAGGGGAACAACCCAGACUACCAAAUAAGGUCCCUAAGUUCUAUUCUGAGUGGAAAAAGAUGUGUGGCUACUCAAACAACCAGGAGGUUGGCUUAGAAGCAGCCAUCCUUUAAAGAAAGCGUAACAGCUCACUGGUCUAGUGGUCAUGCGCUGAAAAUAUAACGGGGCUAAGAUAGACACCGAAUUUGUAGAUUGUGUUAAACACAGUGGUAGAAGAGCGUUCAUACCAGCGUUGAAGGUAUACCGGUAAGGAGUGCUGGAGCGGUAUGAAGUGAGCAUGCAGGAAUGAGUAACGAUAAGAUAUAUGAGAAUUGUAUCCGCCGUAAAUCUAAG
rnacentral:rRNA from 1 species